GAGGACGGGCUUCUUUUCCCGUGCUCAGUUAAUCUGGCUGUCAGUUGGUGUUAACGCUGCAGUUUAAGUGCUCGGAUUCCAAGGGAAACAGACAAACCUCACUGAAGGAAGGAAGCAAGCAAGCAAGGAAGGAACUGCAGGAGGAAAAGAACAGGCAGAACAGCGAGAAGAAUAAAGGGAAAGGGGGGGAAACACCAAAUCUAUGAUUGGACCUGGGCUUCUUUUUCGCCAAUGCAAAAAGGAAUAUGCAGCACAUUUUUGCCUUCUUCUGCACCGGUUUCCUAGGCGCGGUAGUAGGUGCCAAUUUCCCCAACAAUAUCCAGAUCGGGGGAUUAUUUCCAAACCAGCAGUCACAGGAACAUGCUGCUUUUAGAUUUGCUUUGUCGCAACUCACAGAGCCCCCGAAGCUGCUCCCCCAGAUUGAUAUUGUGAACAUCAGCGACAGCUUUGAGAUGACCUAUAGAUGUAAGUAAUUGCUUCUAUUUCUGAGAUGUCUUUCUGCGCUAGACCAAUGAAAGGAGGGCCUGUGGGUAGGUGGUGGUGUUGUAAAAAUGACUUCAGUUGCCAUUCGUCUUCCUAAGAGAAAGCCCUCCAAGAAAAAUUUCUAGAGGCUUCUGAGUGAUUCCAGCAGUUGGCAUUUUAGCCCCUGCAAUGCUUCAUGGAAUGGAUUUGCUUUUUCACUGUCAGCUUACUUUAAAUGCCAGCACGAUGGGUGCUUGAGUUUACUGCAUCUUC
rnacentral:sRNA from 1 species